rnacentral:lncRNA from 1 species
GCCUUAGCGACCACGGCUGAGGCUGCUCGGUCUUCGCCGGGGCUGCAGGGUGCAGGGUGCAGGGUGCGGGGGCGGCGGCCCGGGGCACCCCCACUGCCCCCGACUGCGGAGGGGCUGAAGUUUGAGCCGCGCGCCUCCAGGCCCCUCCCCCGCCCCGCCUACCCCGCGAUCCCCCGCAAAACCCGGAGCGGAGCGCCGGCCCGGCCCGGCCCCGAGCAUGCGCAGGAGGGUGCCGGCGCGGCCGCCGGUCGGAAGCGCCAGCUCCGAGCAGGGGGAGCGGCCGCCCGGGCUGCUCGGCCCCGCCGCCCCUCCGGCCGUUGGCUCCCGCUCCGGGCCCGGGCCGCCGGCUGUAUUACUCAUCGUCUUACUGUUAUUUGUCGGAGAGUCUGUCCUUUCCUACCACCUGACAGUGGCACCUCUGCUGUAUUUCAAAUUGUCAUGUAUGUGUGGGUCAAGUUCUCGGCGGGAUUGCAUUUUUUUUUAACAUCCCUGUGUCUGUACUGUGCUGGUUGUAGCUUUUUAUUUGGUCUUUCCCUCCACACAAAUGUACUGAGAUAUAAUUCAUAUAUCAUACACUUCAUCCAUUGGAGUCUACAAUUUAGUGGUUUUUAGUGUAUUCACAGAACUGUGCCGCCAUUACCAUGGUGUUGGAACAUUUCAUCAUCCCCACAAGAAACCCUGUAUCUUGUUAGCAGUAGCAGUUGUAUCUGGUCUUGCUUUUGUUGGGGUUGGGGAUGCCCUUCAUCAGGGGUGGUUCUUCAGAAGUUUUGAAGUUUCUUGGCUAUUCUUGACUGUAAGUUAAUUUGUUAUAUUCCACCAAAAAUCUGGUAGGAAGUCUUUUUUUUUUUUUUUUAAAGAUUUUAUUUAUUUAUUCAUGAGAGACAGAAAAAGAGAGAGAAAGAGAGAGAGGCAGAGACACACACAGAGGGAGAAGCAGGCUCCAGGCAGGGAGCCUGAUGUGGGACUUGGUCCCGGGUCUCCAGGAUCAGGCCCUGGACCAAAGGUGGCGCUAAACUGCUGAGCCACCCGGGCUGCCCCUGGUAGGAAGUCUAAUCCAGAGUAACUUUGAAUCUAUAUAUCAAACUGGGGAGAAUUAACAUCUUUCUUCUCUUUCUACUCGUGAGUAUACCUGGGACGCUGUCUUUUCAUCUGCACAGAGCCUGGCACAUGGGAAGUCCUCAUUAGAUGUUGGGUAUGUGAACAAUGAGGUUUUAUACAUUGCUAAUUUCUCUUUCACAAAAGAGAAAACCUCAGUGAAACUGUGUGACUCACUUAUGGUCACACAGAAUGACAGCCAGGGAGAGAACCAACUCGAUAGACUUGGUGCCUGCGGUCAGUUCUCUGCCACCUAUUGCUAACGAGAGAGCAGGAGCUUUUUGCAAAUAAUGUGUGCUGCUCGGCUGCUUUAAAUUUCAUUAAUUCGAUCUUAUCCUAUAGAUGGCUUUUCUUCGGUGCACCUAGGUAUGAUGUGUGCAUGUGUUUAAUAAAGAUCUGUGGUUGGGAGAACUCAUGGCUUGUAUCGUGCCUGGCACAGAGUGCCCAUGGAGCACAUGUGUGAACAGGGAAAGCCAUAGUGCAGGUUGGAAUUUCCAUUAUGACUCAAAAUUCCCAACUUCUGUACCCAUGACACCUUGAUAGAGCCUACCUUAGCUUUGAGUGCAAACAUAUUGAAUAAGUUGAUGAAACCUUAUUGCACUGUAGAGGGAAGGCCUUGUAUGCUUGUCCUCUGUCUUUUCUUUCUGCACUUGUUCUCCUGGGCCUCACGGAUGCCUUGUCCGUCAGCAGUGCCCAGAGCUUGCUGUGCUGCUGGGAGACAGUCCUUGCUCAUGAGGCCUCCCCUCAGCUGCCCCGGGCCCCCCUUUCCAUCUCUGUGCACUGAAGGCCUGGACCAGAUAAAAGUGUUCUGCAGUUGCUUUUAAAGCUGUGUCUCCCCUUGAGAAACACAAAACCUUAAAUCUCCGCCUUCAGUCCCAACUCUGCUAGGGACAGCCAUCCCUCUGUUGAACACUAACGUGGGUUCUUCCUGAGGUGGUGUAGAAGACACUGUUCAGAGGAUGGCUGCUGGGAACAGUGGAGUGGCCUGGCGUCAUCCUUCAGGGCCGGAGUGCCAUGGCGAGGCUUGGGCCUGAACAUUUCGUCUGACGGGGCCUCUCUGAUUCUGACCAGGAAUAAACCUCUCUUGGCCUCAGGUUCUUCUUCAGUAAAGUUGAGGUGGUGUUACAGAAAGGUUUAAGUGAGGUAAUCCAUAUAUAAACCAUUUACGUCCUGGGUAGAUUGGAGGUUAGAUCCAGAUCUGGGUCCACUCUGGUUCUCUUCAGUGUGUCCUGCUGAGGGGAUGAGGGAGCGGGGCAUUCGUUCACUGAACGCUUUUGAGCACUGGCUCUCCACCAGUACCUGGCCACAUGUUGGAAAUAGAAAGCCAGAGACACCCCUUUUCUGCAGGAGCUGUGGUAUUUCGGGAAGAGCUGUGGGGGCUAAACACAGAACUCCAGGGACAAAUGGUAGCCCAGGGCCCUGUGUGGGGCUCACCCUGCCUCCUGGGUGGUUCGUGUCAGAACCUCCCAAUACCCAAAGUGGGCCAAC